rnacentral:rRNA from 1 species
CAAUAACGUAUAUUAAAGUUGUUGCAGUUAGAACGCUCGUAGUCGGAUUUCGGGGCGGGCCGACCGGUCUGCCGAUGGGUACGCACUGGUCGGCGCGUCCUUCCUUCCGGAGACCGUGCCUACUCUUAACUGAGCGGGGGCGGGAGACGGAUCGUUUACUUUGAAAAAAUCAGAGUGUUUCAAGCAGGCAGCUCGCUCUUGCAUGGAUUAGCAUGGGAUAAUGAAAUAGGACUUUGGUGCUAUUUUGUUGGUUUCGAACACCGAAGUAAUGAUUAACAGGGACAGUCAGGGGCACUCGUAUUCCGCCGAGAGAGGUGAAAUUCUCAGACCAGCGGAAGACGAACUACUGCGAAAGCAUUUGCCAGGGAUGUUUUCACUGA